ACGGAAAGAUAACUGAGCACAUUUUAUGUGUUAGGAAAGUCCAUACUAGCACAAUCUGCGAUGAUUGUAGUGUUUGCGCUUAACGAAAAAAUAAGUUAAGGAACUAAUUUAUUAGUUACGGCGGAUGAAACCUAAAGCUUAAUGCCAUGGUGUAGUCCUGAAAGUGCCACAGAGACGAGUUUCUUUUGGAAACAAAAGAGUGGAACGGGUAAACCCCACAAGCUAGCAACCCAAAUUUUGGUAGGGGCAUGAUUUUAGGGAGAAAUGAAUCCACUAAAAUUACACUUGUUUAUAGUGAGAUAAAUGGUUAUCCCUUCUUAUAGAAGGACAGAAUAUGGCUUACAAAG
rnacentral:RNase_P_RNA from 1 species